GACGAACGCUGGCGGCGUGCUUAACACAUGCAAGUCGAACGGAAAGGCCCUGCUUUUGUGGGGUGCUCGAGUGGCGAACGGGUGAGUAACACGUGAGUAACCUGCCCUUGACUUUGGGAUAACUUCAGGAAACUGGGGCUAAUACCGGAUAGGAGCUCCUGCUGCAUGGUGGGGGUUGGAAAGUUUCGGCGGUUGGGGAUGGACUCGCGGCUUAUCAGCUUGUUGGUGGGGUAGUGGCUUACCAAGGCUUUGACGGGUAGCCGGCCUGAGAGGGUGACCGGCCACAUUGGGACUGAGAUACGGCCCAGACUCCUACGGGAGGCAGCAGUGGGAAAUAUUGCACAAUGGGCGGAAGCCUGAUGCAGCAACGCCGCGUGCGGGAUGACGGCCUUUGGGUUGUAAACCGCUUUCGCCUGUGACGAAGCGUGAGUGACGGUAAUGGGUAAAGAAGCACCGGCUAACUACGUG
rnacentral:rRNA from 1 species